rnacentral:snRNA from 1 species
GUUAGCUAGCAACUUAUGCAAAAAUAGACACAGAUACAGAGAAGAUUAGCAUGGCCCCUGCGCAAUGAUGAAAUGCGUUAUUGUGAAGCGUUUCCAUAUUUU